UGAUAUAGUGGAAAAACAGGAAAAUAUAUCUUCCUGAGUUCAAAUCUGAUCUCAGACAUUUAGUGUCAUUUAUGUGACUUUGGCCAAGUCACUAAACUCUGUUGACUCAGUUUCUUCAUCUGCAAAAUGAGCCAGAAGGAGCAAUGGGUGGUUCAGUGGACUGAGAGCCAGGCCUAGAGACAGGAGGUCCUGGGUUUAAAUCUGACCUUAGUCACUUCCCAGCUGUGUGACCCUGGACAAGUCACUUAACCUCAUUGUCUAGUCCUUACCACUCUUCUGCCUGGAACCAAUACACAGUCUUGAUUCUAAGAUGGAAGGUAAGGGUUAAAAACAAAAAGAAGAAUUGAAGAGCAAUACUUAUAAAAUGUAUAAUGGAAUAAAGCUGGGAAGGAUAGCUGGUUAGGUUGAAUGAUAGAAUCGGGAUCUAAAAGUAUCUUGGGGGAUACCAGUAGAGCAAAUUUUAUUAAAUAGGUUGGAAUGGAAAAGCAUUUAUUAACCAUUUUCCAUGUGCCAAGUACAGUGCUCAGACCACAGAUUCCUUUUCUCAAGGAAAUUACAUACAAAUAAGGGAGAUAACAUUUGGAAGAGGAUUUAACUUCCUGGCAAAUUGAAAGGCUAAAGAUUCUGCAAAGCAGAGCAUCACAAUGGACAGAAAGACCAAAUAAAUGUUGCAUAGCAAUAGCAAGAUAUAUCGUUCCAAAGGACGACUGUUGGAAGGAGGAAAAUGGACCCGCCGCUUGGGAGUGGUGCUCAGGGAUGGCUGGGCCUAUGAGGGACUGUCAGCAUCUAGGUAGUAGGAGAUAUUUAGCACUUGAUGAGAGCUGGGCAGUGAAGGAUGGGGAAGGACUGAAAACAAGUCCCUACGGCCUCUUCCUAUUGAAUCCUCAGACACCCACUGUAAUCUGUAUGGCAAGAAGGCUCGAGUGAUCAUGAUGAAAAAAGAAGCAGAAAAAACCCCUCUACCUCAUGAAGAUAAUUGCAGUGUAUGGAGUAACAUAUGUUUCAGGGGAAGAAGAAAUGAAGAGAUUGAUUCUAUGACUAACUUAACAAGCUCCCCUGAACUAAGUAAAUAUAUAAUUUGAUACUCAAUGACUUGAAUGUGAAGGUAGACACAAGAGAAUAACA
rnacentral:lncRNA from 1 species